AGAAUCAACGCUGGCGGCGUGCCUAACACAUGCAAGUCGAACGAGAAAGUGGAGCAAUCCAUGAGUAAAGUGGCGCACGGGUGAGUAACACGUGACUAACCUACCCUUGAGUGGGGGAUAACCUAGAGAAAUCUGGGCUAAUACCGCAUAAUACCUUCGGGUCAAAGGAGCAAUUCGCUUAAGGAGGGGGUCGCGGCCGAUUAGUUAGUUGGCGGGGUAAUGGCCCACCAAGACUAUGGUCGGUA
rnacentral:rRNA from 1 species